UCGGAAGGGUGGGGCUUGACUUCCCUCCGCCCCCUGAGGCAGAAUGGGGCGGGGCUCCGGGGGCUGGGGAGGAGCCCGGGCGUCUGCUGACAGCGGUGCCUGUGACUUUGAUCUGCAGUCUUCACCAGCAAGAGGAGCUUUCCCGGCUUACUCGGCUGGGAAGGCCGAGUUUCUGGAGCCGUAGAAGAGGAUUCUCAAAGAUAAUGAGGACAGGUAACCAAAUGUAUAUUGGAGAUAACUGACAAAAGCGACUAGAUAGCCUCUGAAGCUCUGGUUGUAAGGCCCCGCCCCCUUUUCUGUUUCCUGAGCCACCUGCCCUUGCAGGUCUAGUGACUGAGUGUACUCAGCCUUCUCUUACUUUUCAUAAAGUGACCUUAGAACCUAGAAAAGCCGAGCUUCUCACGCGGGGCCGUGUUAAAGUGCACGUUCUGCUGCUGAAGUAGGAUCGGAUAGUCUGCGUUUCUAAAACAUGCUCGGAUAACCCCAGUGCCGCAGUUCCACAAUUAGAGCAACAAACACUAUUUAUCUUACAUGCUUAAUGAAAGAAGUAAAUUGUUCCGAAAAUAUAGACGUCACUGGGCACAGCCUCUGUCUCCCUGCUAUCCAUUCAAGUAGCCCGUCCAUAGUCCCACCACCCUAAUAACCCUAACCCUGCCUCCCCUGUCUCUGCUCUGUUCAAGUUAAAGUGUCUUAAGAUGGGUAAUAGGAUAGACUAUUACAAGAAGAAUUGGAGGAGGGAUGGGAGAAGAAUUAUGGGGGGAGGGGCGCGCGUACGCUGCCCUGGUGUGUUUACAUGUUUGUGUGGGUGCAACUGUAUGUACACAUGCCAGAAAAAGCCAAGGCCAGAGGUUAGCCUUAGGUGUUGUUCCUCGGGAGCUGAACCUCUUGUUUUUUUGAGAUAAGGUCUCCAAAAACCUGGUGCUUUGCCUUUCUCCAUCUCUUCAGCUCUGAAAUUAGGAGCAUCCACCACCAAGCCUGGCUUUUUUAAUGUGCGUUCAGGAGAUCCAACUUAGGUCCUGUACUGGCUAGUUUUGUGUGUCAACUUGACACAAGCUGGCGUUAUCACAGAAAAGGAGCCUCGGUUGUGGAAAUACCUUCAUAAAACCCAGCUAUAAGGCAUUUUCUUAACUAGUGGUCAAAGGCCCAGCCCAUUGUGGGUGGUGCUGUCCCUGGGCUGGUGGUCUUGGGUUCUAUAAAAAAGCAAGCUGAGCAAGCCAGAGGAAGCAAGCCAGUAAGCAGCACCCCUCCAUGGCCUCUGCACCAGCUCCUGCUUCCUGGCCUGCUUGAGUUCCAGUCCUGACUUCCUUUGGUGAUGAACAGCAAUGUGGAAGUGUAAGCUGAAUAAACCCUUUCCUCCCCAACUUGCUUCUUGGUCAUGAUGUUAGUGCAGGAAUAGAAACCCUGACUAAGGCAGGUCCUCAUGCUUAGAAGAUAAGCAUUUCACAGGGGUUGGGGGUUUAGCUCAGUGGUAGAGUGCUUGCCUAGCAAGCGCAAGGCCCUGGGUUCGGUCCUCAGCUCUGGAAAAAAAAAAAAAAAGAUAAGCAUUUCACUAGCUGAGCCUUCUCUUUCCAGCCCCAGAGAGAUGGACAUUUAUUUCUGUCAUUUUGCCAAGAGUAUCUUAUAACGUAUGUGUUAGUAAUGCCACUUCUAGUUCUUCCUGUCAAGAAAGGAAAGGCUUAGAUUCUUGUAUUCUGCACACAAAACAUCUAGAAAUAUUAAUGUUCUCUAUCUUUCAACUUCUUUUUCUUCCUUCUAUGCCUUAAUUUCAAAUUUUACUGGGGUAGGGAGAGCUAGUUUAUCUCUACUAUAAACACAGGUCUCUUUUUUGGAAUGUUAAAAUGGUCUAGGAUCAGAUGUUAGCAGUGAUUGUACAAUGUUGCCAAUGCACUAAGAAACAUUGAAUUAAACCUUUUGAAGGACUGGAGAGAUGGCUCAGCAGUUAAGAGCACUGACUGCUCUUCCAGAGGUCCUGAGUUCAAUUCCCAGCAACCACAUGGUGGCUCACAACCAUCUGUAAUGGGAUCUGAUGCCCUCUGCUGGUGUGUCUGAAGACAGCCACAGUGUACUCACAUACAUACAAUAAAUCUUUAACGAAAAAACAAAAAACAUUUUGGCAGAUCUGAGCUUCUUCCAUGUUAAGAAGCCUAACCCUUUGCAGAUCUUGUGAGGAUAGCUGUUGCAGGAUAUCUGAUCACACCUCGAACCCCCGAGAUUGUGGUACUGAAAAAAACCUGUUUCUAGUUGUGGUAUGACUCAGCCCCAGCUCAUACCUCUCUGUUCAUUGUAAACAGGAUUAAAUUAAGUCAACCAUAGGUCAAGAGGCAGAGCAAGAAACCAGUUGACAGGGAGAGAACGUAAGAAGAAAACAGAGAGUAAGAGAAGGUCAGGAGGAUGGAUAGAGACACAUACAGGAAGUAGAAGGGCGGGACAUUCCGUUUGAAGGGUUUUUGAGACAGCUUGGCAAAAGAUCGCAUCCUCUUUUGGCAUGUCGGCUGUGGACGUUCAGCUGGGUGCUUUCUCUGCCUCUCUAAGCUAGCAGACGUCAUCCCAGCAUCUGGCUCCCAAGUCUCUUAUUGGUAAAAUUGAAUGCUUGAGAUUCUGUUAAAAACAACAGAUAGCGACAGCUAGGUCCAUAAACAAAGCAACCUCAUCAUGUCUGGAAGGUAACAUUCUCCUGUCCUCUUUCCAUCCUUUCUUUCCCCUCUUCUAUGAUUAUCCUAAGCUUUGGGGAACAGAGAUAAUAUACCUAUCUCGUUGGGGGCUGGAAACUCAAGAGUCACUUAUUCUCAGCACCCUCACCAGAUGAGUCUCUGCAGUAACCACUGACCACUAAAACACGAGGCUUCUGUGCCCCAGACUAAGAGCAGCGUUAGUCUAUAGGCGUAAACAUUUAGAAGCUAAUUCGAAAGUCACGUCAUGCCCAGAUAGCACAAUAACAUUAUUACUAUUGCCCCAAGAGCUAUAACUCCUCAGAUAUAGGUUUUUGACCAAGCUCACAGUACAAGGCAUGAAUUCCCUCCUGUGAAGUGAGUCUCAAUUCAACCAGAAAGCAGUUGGUAUUCCACAUGACAGUCGUGCCGCUAUUGUACCACUGGAGACAUCUUGCUCGGAGAUUCUGCUGUGUAGCGGUCAGCAUUCACACUCAGCUAAGAGGGACAGCUGGAAACAACAAACAUUGUCACAUCUUCUUCAAUGGAUCCACUUCUGAUCUUUGAAAAUCCUUUGAAAAGCCUCCAGUGAAAAUGCAAACUUCCCAGCUAAGUGAAGAGGGAGAUGUUGUCAUUUCUAACACUGAGACAAGAGGGAGAUGAUUCAAACCCAAGUAAAGAGUCAAAAUUAUACACUGUCAAAUAAUUUAUAACUAAAAGCUCUCCCAUUUAUUUGUUCUUGGUACCUUAAGAUAUGAGAACACGGGGCUGGAGAGAUGACUCAGCGGUUAAGAGCACUGACUGCUCUUCCAGAGGUCCUGAGUUCAAAUCCCAGCAACCACAUGGUGGCUCACAACCGUCUGUGAUGGGGGCUGAUGCCCUCUUCUGGUGUGAAUGAAGACAGCGACGGUGUACUCACAUACAUUAAAUAAAUCUUAAAAAAAAAAAAAAAGACAUGAGAACACAUCUAUAGUAUAAGCCCAUAGUCCCAUCUCUAGUUUAUGAUUUAACUGAAUUUUCAGAUAGGUGUGCUUUAAUCCUAGCACUCAGGAGGAAAAACCAGGCAGAUCUCUGUGAGUUUGAGGCCAGGCUGAUCUACAUGACAAGACUUUUUCAACAAAGGGAAGAGAAGGAGGAAGAACAAGAAGAAGAACAAAAAGGAGGAGGAGAAGGUUAGAGGAAAGAAAGCAAAAAGAAGGCCAUCUGAAUUUCCAUUUUCUCUAACAGAGCCAACACUGGUAAUAAAAGAUGAGACCAUUAGAAA